rnacentral:rRNA from 1 species
UACAGAGGUCCCGAGCGUUGUUCGGAUUCACUGGGCGUAAAGGGUGCGUAGGUGGUUGCGCAAGUCUGAUGUGAAAUCUCCGGGCUCAACCCGGAAAUGGCAUUGGAAACUGCGUGGCUAGAGGGUUGGAGGGGGGACUGGAAUACUUGGUGUAGCAGUGAAAUGCGUAGAUAUCAAGUGGAACACCAGUGGCGAAGGCGAGUCCCUGGACAACACCUGACACUGAGGCACGAAAGCUAGGGGAGCAAACAGG